UGAGGAAUAUUGGUCAAUGGACGGAAGUCUGAACCAGCCAUGCCGCGUGAAGGAUGAAGGCGUUCUGCGUUGUAAACUUCUUUUAUCUGGGAAGAAACCACAGAUUUCUAUUUGUGUUGACGGUACCAGAGGAAUAAGCACCGGCUAACUCCGUGCCAGCAGCCGCGGUAAUACGGAGGGUGCAAGCGUUAUCCGGAUUCACUGGGUUUAAAGGGUGCGUAGGUGGGCAGGUAAGUCAGUGGUGAAAUCUCCGGGCUUAACCCGGAAACUGCCGUUGAUACUAUUUGUCUUGAAUAUUGUGGAGGUAAGCGGAAUAUGUCAUGUAGCGGUGAAAUGCUUAGAUAUGACAUAGAACACCAAUUGCGAAGGCAGCUUACUACACAAUCAUUGACACUGAGGCACGAAAGCGUGGGGAUCAAACA
rnacentral:rRNA from 1 species